UGCCGAUCUCGUCUGAUCUCGGAAUUUAAGCAGGGUCAGGCUUGGGUAGUACUUGGAUGGGAGACCACCUAGGAAUACCAAGUGCUGUAGGUG
rnacentral:rRNA from 1 species